CUAAAUUUAAAUAAUACUCGUUUGAUUGUUAUUUUAUUUAAUUUAAUAAAAGCUUAAGUUGUUGUAAUUUUUUUUUUCUUUGAAUAUCUAUUUAACUUGAAUUUUACUUAACUAUUUUGUUCUCUCACUUCCACUCUCUCAAUUAUUUUGCAAUUUUUCUUACUUCUCUCUACAAUUUCUGAAAACAUGUAAGAUUUUUUUUUAUAUGUUUAUGUUAGAUUUUGGGGUAUGGAAUGUAUCUCUUAGCUUAGGUGGUUCUGACGAGGUGUAUCCUGUUGUAUUUUGAACAUUAAAAUUUUGUACAUGUUACGUUGGUUAUUUAUAGAUGCGCGAAAACAUAUUGCGAGGGAUUUGCGAGGAACUUGCGAGGAACAUCGCUAUUUUGCUACGAAUUUGCGAGAGAAGUUCAAUGACCAACCAAAGCAGGAAGAUUAUUUAAAAUGUGCUGACCUAACCUGCCAAGGAGUCGCAACUCCGACGCAAAAUUUGCUAUAGAAAGUUUGUACGCCGCAAGUUUACCGCAGUUUGCGAGGCUCUUAUCGUACAGCAAAUCCCUCGCAAUUUGCGAUGACUUUGCGAGGAAUUCUUCGGUCGUUGCAAUUUUCUCGCAUUUGCCACGCAAUAUUGUGUGGGAAUUCUCCCUCGCAAAUUUUGCGACUGAUUAACGACGUAUUGAUUUUCCGGCGCAAAGUGCUCGCAAGUCUAUAGCAAUUUGCGAGGGAUUUACGCCAUCUGAAAUUUCCUUCGCAAAUCGCCUGUUUUCUUGUAGAUUGAGAGAGAUUUCAAAGAGAUAGAAGGAGACGGUGGAGAGGUUGAGAAAGAUUUCAAAGAGAUUGAGGGAGAGUUGAGAUGUGAGAGAAAUGAAAGGAAAAUUGAGAUUUGAGGGAAUAUUAAGAGAUAUUUAAGGGUUUUGUUUUGAAAAAAAUAUGCGUAAAACUGAUUUGGAAAAAAGAAAAAAUUGCCGCAUAAUUUUUUCGUUUUAGAGGGUAAAGUUUGGUGCCCGAUGCUUUUCCAACAGUGAAACUUUUACCCUCGCAAAUCCAUCGGAAAUAUAAAAUAUUUUUCUUAUACAUGUAUAAAGUCAUCAUCUCAUUUCCAAAUGAGUGAACUCGGCGUUACAAACACGCUCUUGAGAUACUUAUAACAUCGAUCAUUUUCUUUUCGUGACUCGUUUCCAUGUCCUUGGAGUGAAAUUUCUGUGAAUCUGCAUUGAGAAUUAGAUUUGAUAUAAUCUUGCUUGGUUUGACUUGAGUACUAGCUCACAAAACUUUAACCUAAGGCAAAUUUUCUAAUUUUAUGAUAGUUAUGUGUGUGUAUUGAUGCACAAAAAUGCAUUGAUGUGCAUUCUUCUAGGAGCUUAUUCAAGUCUGACUUAUAAAAUGUUACAGAGUGGAUGGUUCAGAUAAGAAUCAAAGAUCUCAGAUGAUGAUUAUGGCGGGACGUUACUGCAUGUGACGAGUUCUCCACUUAGAUUUGAUCGAUAACUCUAACCGCACAAUAAUAGUGCUAAAUUGAAAUAGAAAUUUAAUGAAGCUUAAGAUCAAUAAUGGUGACGACGAGAGGCUCCAUCUAAGUCGACGAAGAAGACAAUACAUAUUAGAGUUCAUGAACUCAACGUGGGUUUAGUAGUUUCACCCUAUAGAGGAAAAAUAAAAACAGAUCAAAGAUAAUCAAAUAGAAACCAAAAAUCGUUGGAGAGAUAUUUGUUUACCCUUCACGUGGAUGCUAUUAUUAAAAGACGGCUACGUCUAUGAAUUUGAUGAGCUAACAACUGAAGGCGACGAAAAGAUCACGACUAUGACUUUUUUGAUGAGCUAAGAACGGAAGAAGGCGACUAUAGCUUGUUCAAUAUAUAAUUUUGAGAAGAUAUGGGGAUGCUAAAUCCUAUUUUUAUUUUUAUUAUUAUCCACAAAUUUUAUUUGAGUAAAUCCUAUUAAACUUAUUUUUCUAAAUUUAAAUAAUACUCGUUUGAUUGUUAUUUUAUUUAAUUUAAUA
rnacentral:sRNA from 1 species